UUACUUGCGGAGGAGACCCCGAACGUCCUCCGUAUAAAAGGGUCAUGCCUGAGGAUCGGCGGUACGGAGUCGUAGUGAGCUAGUGAGCAACGAGGAGAAUCCCAGUUGCUGCGAGUUUACUUGCGGAGGAGACCCCGAACGUCCUCCGUAUAAAAGGGUCAUGCCUGAGGAUCGGCGGUACGGGGUCGUAGGCCUCAAUCACUGUCAGCCCUUAUUAAUGGAUGCAACCCAACGCUCUCGGAGAAUCGGAUAUGCUAAAAGUCUUUCGAGUAGCUGCACACUGCAAGCCUGCCCCUCGAAUGGGUGUAGUGUAGACUGCUGCGGAGGAGACCCCGAACGUCCUCCGUAUAAAAGGGUCAUGCCUGAGGAUCGGCGGUACGGAGUCGUAGUGAGCUAGUGAGCAACGAGGAGAAUCCCAGUUGCUGCGAGUUUACUUGCGGAGGAGACCCCGAACGUCCUCCGUAUAAAAGGGUCAUGCCUGAGGAUCGGCGGUACGGAGUCGUAGUGAGCUAGUGAGCAACGAGGAGAAUCCCAGUUGCUGCGAGUUUACUUGCGGAGGAGACCCCGAACGUCCUCCGUAUAAAAGGGUCAUGCCUGAGGAUCGGCGGUACGGGGUCGUAGGCCUCAAUCACUGUCAGCCCUUAUUAAUGGAUGCAACCCAACGCUCUCGGAGAAUCGGAUAUGCUAAAAGUCUUUCGAGGCCUUAAUCACUGUCAGCCUCAUGGAUUCUGCGGAUUGCAGCUCGGAAUCAGAUCUAAGUUCGUGGUCAAACUCUUCUGUUGGCGAUGGGCCAACUGCCAGUAGCUGCACACUGCAAGCCUGCCCCUCGAAUGGGUGUAGUGUAGACUG